CAGUCACUUUAAUACAAGCAUUGUCUACUUUGCUUUCAGCUUGAUGAUUCCCUGAAUCAGAUUCGUAAGCUCCAGAGAUCUCUGGAUGAACAGAAGGAGGCAAAUGAGAACAUGGAAACUAAAUUCAGGCACUUACAAAGCCGUG
rnacentral:lncRNA from 1 species